rnacentral:rRNA from 1 species
AGUGAACGCUGGCGGUAGGCCUAACACAUGCAAGUUGAACGGCAGCACAGUAAGAGCUUGCUCGUACGGGUGGCGAGUGGCGGACGGGUGAGGAAUACAUCGGGAUCUACUUUUUCGUGGGGGAUAACGUAGGGAAACUUACGCUAAUACCUCAUACGACCUACGGGUGAAAGCAGGGGAUCUUCGGACCUUGCGCGAUUGAAUGAGCCGAUGUCGGAUUAGCUAGUUGGCGGGGUAAAGGCCCACCGAGGCGACAAUCCGUAGCGGGUCUGAGAGGAUGAUCAGCCACACUGGAACUGAGACACGGUCCAGACUCCUACGGGAGGCAGAAGUGGGGAAUAUUGGACAAUGGGCGCAAGCCUGAUCCAGCCAUACCGCGUGGGUGAAGAAGGCCUUCGGGUUGUAAAGCCCUUUUGUUGGGAAAGAAAAGCAGCAGGUUAAUACCCCGCUGUUCUGACGGUACCCAAAGAAUAAGCACCGGCUAACUUCGUG